GACUUUAUGCAGUGGCAGUAUUGUAGCCAAUGAGGUUUAACUGAGGCGUGAUUAUUGCUUAUUGAAAACUAAAUUUUCAGGUCCCGCUGCCAUGGGAAUCUUCACGGGAGGGACAGAAAAUUUAAUGGACCAGCAAAAAGUCC